rnacentral:lncRNA from 1 species
GUGACCCCAUAGGUUCAUUUCUAUUUGGUAGCGAGAUAUACCAUGAUCUCUAUCAUAGUAUUAUUGAAAAUUUUUUUAAUGGGUCAGAAUGAUUCCACUCUAACUCAUCAAAGAUUAUCAAUCCUAGUGAGCUCUCACAAUCUACCAGUGACACUGACAGUAUGUAGUGGUAAUCUAGUAGAACCGAAAAAGAAUCUCAAGGUAUAGUUCUCAUGUGAUUCAGUCCCUCUAAUAUGAGUCUUGACUAGAUGGC